CAAAACUGGGAUGCUAGAGUGUGGUAGAGGGUAGCGGAAUUUCUGGUGUAGCGGUGAAAUGCGUAGAUAUCAGAAGGAACAUCAAUGGCGAAGGCAGCUACCUGGGCCAACACUGACGCUGAGGCGCGAAAGCGUGGGGAGCAAACAGGAUUAGAUACCCUGGUAGUCCACGCUGUAAACGAUGACAACUUGUUGAUGGGGGCACUGG
rnacentral:rRNA from 1 species